AAAGAUUUAAAUCUAGAAAGGAAUUAUAUGUUAAUAAAAGGCAGUCUGUACUGAGUCACCUUGGAGUUAAUGGUUUUAUCUCAGAGCUUGAGAUAUGUCUAGGAAAGAGAAAGAUUUUCCUUUGUUGUGUUCUUGUUUAUACAGCUGCUUUUGUAGAUUUAACUGACCUUGAGAAGGUGGUAUGUAGCUUUAAGAUGUGCAGUAAUGAAUAUUCUUUGAAUGAAGACCAUUAAAAGUAUAUAAUAAAGAGAUGGUUUUUUAAACAUAUUCUUUAAAAGAAACCAUAAUGACUAUUUUCAGCACUUCCACCUUGGUUUUGCCUCUUGUCUGCCAUCUCUUUGCAAGUCUGGUUAACAUUUUGCAGUCAGAUGUCACGUUGUGCAUCAUGGGAAUGAUACUGCAGUGGGCUGUAGAAUAUAAUGGAUAUGCCUGGUCAGAGUCUAUGCUGCAAAGGGUUAAAUUUUUCAGACCAACCAAAUCUGACCCAGUGGAUUAGAACAAUAUCUCAGCAGAUAAAAGCAUUACAGAGUCUUAGGAAAGAAGAAAAUGCUUCCAUUCCUGCCUCUUCAGAGAAUUCAAAGAACGUGGAAGAAGUACAGCUCCUUGAAGGUUUCAGGCCUGAUUUUCAUCCUCAGAACCCUUAUUCUGAGAGCAUUAAGGAAAUGCUGACAACAUUUGGAACUGCUACCUACAAGGUGGGACUAAAAGUUCACCCCAACGAAGAGGAUCCCCGUGUGCCCAUAAUGUGCUGGGGUAGCUGUGCGUACACCAUCCAGAGCAUAGAAAGAAUUCUGAGUGAUGAAGAUAAACCAUUGUUUGGUCCUUUGCCUUAUAGACUGGAUGACUGUCUUAGGUCACUGACAAGAUUUGCAGCAGCACAUUGGACGGUGGCAUCACUUCCAGUGGUACAAAGACAUUUUUGUAAACUUUUUGCAUGUAUUAAUAUGUGUACCAUGCAUGUAAUGGUAAUUUCUCAUCUGAAAUAGUUUUUAGCACUAUAAUUUCUCUUAGUUAAGAAUGAAAUAUUUGGUGGUACUGUUACAGAAGCUCUAGCUCAUAAAUUCAUAUAUAGCUUGCAAAAAGAUAAACUCUAUUUUAUGCAUUUUAACUUUACAAAAGGGCUGGGGAUUUAGCUCAGUGGUUCCAUGACCUGCCUCACAA
rnacentral:lncRNA from 1 species